rnacentral:misc_RNA from 1 species
CUGGAACGCGCCCCAGGCGCACCCAGAAACCCUUUGUGAACUUAUACCUUACUGUUGCCUCGGCGCUAGCUGGUCCUCCGGGGCCCCUCCUUCUGGAGGAGCAGGCACGCCGGCGGCCAACCUAACUCUUGUUUUUACACUGAAACUCUGAGUACAAAACAUAAAUGAAUCA